rnacentral:lncRNA from 1 species
CCAGGGAUUUCUUUGUUCGGGGUCCCUCUUCGGAGGCACCCAGCCUGAGCUGUAAUUCGAACGGAGUCAGCAGAACAUCAUCAGACUCGGAGUGGUGGUAGCUAGCUUCUUCUCUCCUUUUCCAACUUUAUCUUUUCCCCUUACCCUUGUUCCCCUCUUCCCUUCAUCUCCCCUUCGCCUUUCCCCACCUUUUCUCCCCACUUCGUGGAAAAUAGAGUUAAACGGUUGUACAAUAUUUGACCGGUUUUAGCGUCUUAAUCUUGUCCUUGGGAUCGUAACGAACCCCCCCCGAUAUUGGAUCGGGACAUCUAAUAUAGCCUAAGAAGUUAAUACAAAAGGAAAACUAUUCUUCAUUUAAGAGACUUGAGUUUCAUUCAAGUUGGAAUUGAUCUGAAACUCUGCUUUUUUAUUUUGUAAAAGGGAACAGUAUCCUGAAAAAAUCAAAUUAUACCAAUGUAGUGGCAGUAGGAUAGACCUUUAUAUGUGUUACGAUACUUGGUAAGAUCUUUUUCUACAUGCAUUGAAGAGUCUUCCAUUGACUACAGUAAAGAACGGUUCAAUAUGGGAAGGCAGGGACUGAAGAAGAAAAGAAUAAGGAGAAGAAACAGCCAGGAACAGAAGGAGAGAGAAAGAGAUGGAAAGAUAGUUUUGACAAACAUUUCAAUUUCAUUCAUAACAAAAAGGUUCAUGUCAAGAGUUUUUUACUUAAUAGAGAUUGCUGUUGACUUCUAUCUAUUCCAUCCUUUUAACCCAUCAGAAAUGGAACUGGGAUAGUUCUAAACAGUUUGUUGUUGACAAGUCUAUAUCUAUGCUGAUGUUUAUUUCACUAUUUUAUUCAACAUAAUUACACAUUGUUUGUUUAAUAAUUAACUGGAAGCAUCUUUCUGUGCAUUGAUGUUAUGUUCAUUGGUAUAUACUUCCAC